rnacentral:rRNA from 2 species
UUGCAUCAUGAUUUACAUUUGAGUGAGUGGCGAACUGGUGAGUAACACGUGGGAAACCUGCCCAGAAGCGGGGGAUAACACCUGGAAACAGAUGCUAAUACCGCAUAACAACUUGGACCGCAUGGUCCGAGCUUGAAAGAUGGCUUCGGCUAUCACUUUUGGAUGGUCCCGCGGCGUAUUAGCUAGAUGGUGGGGUAACGGCUCACCAUGGCAAUGAUACGUAGCCGACCUGAGAGGGUAAUCGGCCACAUUGGGACUGAGACACGGCCCAAACUCCUACGGGAGGCAGCAGUAGGGAAUCUUCCACAAUGGACGAAAGUCUGAUGGAGCAACGCCGCGUGAGUGAAGAAGGGUUUCGGCUCGUAAAACUCUGUUGUUAAAGAAGAACAUAUCUGAGAGUAACUGUUCAGGUAUUGACGGUAUUUAACCAGAAAGCCACGGCUAACUACGUGCCAGCAGCCGCGGUAAUACGUAGGUGGCAAGCGUUGUCCGGAUUUAUUGGGCGUAAAGCGAGCGCAGGCGGUUUUUUAAGUCUGAUGUGAAAGCCUUCGGCUCAACCGAAGAAGUGCAUCGGAAACUGGGAAACUUGAGUGCAGAAGAGGACAGUGGAACUCCAUGUGUAGCGGUGAAAUGCGUAGAUAUAUGGAAGAACACCAGUGGCGAAGGCGGCUGUCUGGUCUGUAACUGACGCUGAGGCUCGAAAGUAUGGGUAGCAAACAGGAUUAGAUACCCUGGUAGUCCAUACCGUAAACGAUGAAUGCUAAGUGUUGGAGGGUUUCCGCCCUUCAGUGCUGCAGCUAACGCAUUAAGCAUUCCGCCUGGGGAGUACGGCCGCAAGGCUGAAACUCAAAGGAAUUGACGGGGGCCCGCACAAGCGGUGGAGCAUGUGGUUUAAUUCGAAGCUACGCGAAGAACCUUACCAGGUCUUGACAUACUAUGCAAAUCUAAGAGAUUAGACGUUCCCUUCGGGGACAUGGAUACAGGUGGUGCAUGGUUGUCGUCAGCUCGUGUCGUGAGAUGUUGGGUUAAGUCCCGCAACGAGCGCAACCCUUAUUAUCAGUUGCCAGCAUUAAGUUGGGCACUCUGGUGAGACUGCCGGUGACAAACCGGAGGAAGGUGGGGAUGACGUCAAAUCAUCAUGCCCCUUAUGACCUGGGCUACACACGUGCUACAAUGGAUGGUACAACGAGUUGCGAACUCGCGAGAGUAAGCUAAUCUCUUAAAGCCAUUCUCAGUUCGGAUUGUAGGCUGCAACUCGCCUACAUGAAGUCGGAAUCGCUAGUAAUCGCGGAUCAGCAUGCCGCGGUGAAUACGUUCCCGGGCCUUGUACACACCGCCCGUCACACCAUGAGAGUUUGUAACACCCAAAG